GGGGACCCGGCCGGGCCCCGCACCUGCCGCGGCGUGAGGGCGGGCGGUGGGCGCGCUGUGUCCCCCCCGCCGGGGCGGCCGUGAGGAUGGGGCAGUUUGCAAGAAAAAUUACCGAAGUCAAAAGCAAGACGAGUGGUUGUAAAGCCCUGGAAUGAAAACAGGAGACAAUAUCACCCAGCAAGUUUGGUGUUCUGACCUUGGCAUAUAUUUUUCAAGUCUUUGGAAACAAGAUGAAGUUUGUCUGCUUUCCCCCAUGCAGCUCUUUGUUUAACAUUUGUCAUCCCACAGUUUUCAUCUUUCCAAAAAUUUUUAUUUUAAAUAAGCACUAUAUCAUCAACACCCCAAAACAAGCUAGAACCUUUUUCCUUGUGCAUAACCAAAUGGGACUGCUUCCCAAAGGCAGCUGGGGGAUAUCUCUGCAAACCAUUUCGGUGCGGUUCGGGCUGCUCGGAUGUUGGGAGACUCAGCUCAGCCUGCAAAUCACUGGGCUUUGAUUCACGAGAACUUGGGCUAUUCAUCAGUCCUCUGGGUAGCAGCAUUUGAUGAACAACUGCAUGGCACCAGUGUUAUAUUGUUCUCUAGACUCCACGUGUGAGACAGUAAUAAGCCAGACUCCUGUGUAUCCAUUGAUCUAUGGCAGCUGCAGUAUAAUCAAACACCAGCAUUAUGUAUGUACAAGCUACUCUGUGAUUAUAGAUCCAUUAAUAAACUGUUUGCAAGAUAUAA